rnacentral:rRNA from 1 species
AUGAAAAUGCUCAGUUGGAACUGUCGAGGGCUGGGACAACUUCGUACGGUUCAGGAGCUUGUGUGUCUGACUAAGACGCACCGUCCCAAUGUUAUCUUUCUUUCUGAAACUAGGAAAAAUAAAGAGUAUGUUGAGCUUUUCUACCGGUUGGGCAUGAAUAAUGUGUUUACUGUUUCUGGCCAUGGUAAAGGUGGAGGUCUAUUCGUGUUUUGGGAUGGAGCAUAUUCUUGUGAACUGAACAAAUAUGGUGAACAUUUUGUGGACAUGUAUGUCAACAAGGGUGAUGGUACAAAGUGGAGGUGCACAUUUAUUUAUGGAGAGCCUAAGGCGAGCUAG